GUUCAAGUCUUUUUGCUCUAGUUCUCUUAAUUUUGGUUUUGUCUUUUGAUUUAGAUUUUAUUGCUUAUUUCUUUUCUCUCUAGUUCUCUGCAAGGUAGCAGUCUUGUUUCUUUUGUUUCUUUUUAUUUUUUACUUUGCUAGUUGCAGUAUUAGUGUAGUUCUUUAUUUGAUCUAUCUUGCCCAGUUACGUCCUCAGUAGUUCUUCGACCUGUUGACUUCCAGAGCUGGUUCCAGCAGUCAACAUUAGCUGUCCUGUCAUUGUUUAUUGUUGGCUCUUCUGUUUGGACUGUUCCUGCCUCACCCUUUCUUGUGCCAUGCUUUAAUAAACAUCACACCCACUCAUUCUUCAUCUGGGUCCUCCCUUUCAGAACCCUUAACAGAAUACACAUUAUAGUACACCCAUCAUUACUGCCAACAUUGUCUUCUGAAUGAAAUGUGAAAAAAAGACCCCAUAAUACAAAUUGAAAAUAUGGAGAUACUCUGGGUUGCAUAUUCAGAGCUGUAUGCAAAUAUUCCUCUUCCUCCUUUUUCUUUGAGUAUUAAGAUGAAAAGAAACAGCUUGCUCUCACACUUCUCAAACCAUGGUCUCCUCAUCACUCUGGUUGUUUCUGCUGCUUGCAGCUGUCUCUCGUGUCCACUGUGUUGAACUGACCCAGACUGAUUCUGUGGUCUUAAGGCCUGGUCAGGGUUUGACUCUGUCCUGUAAGAUCUCUGGAUAUUCAUUGACUGACAGCAGCUACUGCACUGGCUUCAUACGACAGGCUGCAGGAAAAGCUCUGGAAUGGGUUGGAAUGAUAUGUAGUGAUGGUAACACAUAUUACAGUGAUAAACUGAAAAGUAGAUAUCAAGUUAGCAGAGACACUUCCAGCAGCACAGUGACUCUACAAGGACAGAAUAUGCAGACUGAGGACACAGCUGUGUAUUACUGCGCCAGAUAGUCACAGUGACACAGAGCAGUUACUGCCUUGUUCAAAAACAACAUUGUCACUCACAACACAAAUAGUUUCAGUUCCAGAUUACAUUCAAUCAUCAAAAAAUUACAGUACAUGUUCUAACCUUUGAAAUUUGUUAGUAAAAGUUUAAAUAGAGAUUAUUAUUUUUAAAUGCGCAAAUAUUUCAUUCAUAUUUCUGUCUUCUCUACUUGCCACUCAAA